UAUGGUCGAUGAGAACUCAUUAGUUUUCGUUUGAAAACUCUACUGCAAAAAAUCCGUUUUAUUUGCUGUCCUGUGCAUAAGAAACCUUUAUUCACAGUGAAAGUAAAUUUUAUUGCCUCGUAAGAUUCCUUACGAUAUUUUAUACUGAGGGCAGUGAAUAUCAAAAUCAGCGGUGUGCCGGACUAAUUACCUCUAAUUUUCUAGUUGCGUCUCUUCACGUUUUGAGUUCAAAUCCGACCCGAGAUCGACUUGACUUUUCUUAUCGGUGGAGAAGGGUCGUUGAUAAUACCUGUCAGGCACAAGGCCCAAAAUUUUGGGGGAGGGAGCCAGUCGAUUAGAUCGACCACAGUAUGCAAC